CAACAAAGUACCAGCAGAAACUCUGCUGCUGUUGGCAAAAGAAAAGGAGAGGGGAAAAGACCAAUCAGCAAAUUACUAGGCAAAAUAUUAUAUCAUAAUAUAAAAUUCAUAAUGUAGUUUAAUGUACAUAAAUUAUAUGUUAGUGCAAUGUAUUAAAUUUUUUUGAUGACUUAAUAAAGGGCCAUGGUGUAAUAAAUGCUACAAAUGUAUCAUUUUGUCCAGUAGUACAUGGUUACUUGGCAACAUGAUGACAUCAUAAGAUCUGAUAGAAAUGACCCUCCGCAGUCCAAAGAUCUAUCUGUGUACUUAGUAUGUUUGCCCAACUUCUGGUUGCACAGGACGAGUUUACAGAUGAUUUUGUGCAUUAUCUGUGGCUGGCUAAUUCAUACCAGAAACCUGACGUGUUCACCUUAGAAUUGCCAGUGACUCACAUAUGAUGAUAAAGAUUUGUUCACAACCAAUGCUGUGAAUUUCCUCAGCAAUUGUGCUACUUGAUUAUUGCCUCCUACCAUGUGGACUCGCAUAAAUACAUCCAUAAAUGAAUAAAUAUGAAUAAAAAAAGCAAUGUGCAACAACACACACUGAAAUGUAUGCAGAAUUUCAAACUUUUUAAUGGCCUCCACUGUAAAAAAAAAAAAAAAAGCAAAAUUGAAAAAAGAAAACCUGAAAAAACAAACAAUCAAAUUGACCUGUAAACUGACCUUUAUAACUCUGAAUGAACACAUCUGUCUGAGGAGGAGAAGAGCAGAAACUGCAAUUUACCAUUUGACCAGUCCCGUCUCUGUCUCUCCAAAUCUAUCAGCAGUUAUGAAUAAUUAAAGAAGUAACUAUGCUUUUGCCACAUGUGUAAAUGCGUGCCUUACUGCUAUUUCUCUUACCGCAAAAAGCCCUUCAAAAGCUAAUUAAUCCCUAUGAACCCUCAUGUUAAGAUGGCCAGCUUCACAGCAGAAAUAAACUUGUUUACAGCUUGGAUUUUGUUGAGGCUUAAAGUUUCCCUCUGAAUCAUGUUAGUGCUGUUGCUGGUUAUUUGAGUACAUCUGAAAAUGCCAUGUUCUGUUGUGUGGUGCAGCCCAGAAACAUUUGCUGAAGUUCUGUUGAGUCAAAUUAUGUUUUUAUUUGCCUGUCAGAUGAGACUAAUAAGCAGGUAUAUGCGUUUAUGCAGUUUGCAGCUUGCAAACUAGGCUAACUGGCCUAAGAUGAUACUGCAGCAUGCAAUGCAACAUGGCAAAUAUGGCAGCAUCUGGAUUGAAAAGCACAAUAUGUGGCCAAACUAAUAUUGUAGUUCAACUUUAGUUUUUUUUUUUUUUUACAAUUUUGAAGGGUCAAUUUCUUUGAAUCAAAAUAUUGCAUCAAUCGGUAUGGAAGUUUGUUCCCGCC
ensembl:lncRNA